rnacentral:rRNA from 1 species
CAGUUGCCAGCAUGUCCUCCGGGAUGAUGGGGACACUGUUGGGACCGCUCUGCUAAAGAGGAGGAAGGAAUGGGCAACGGUAGGUCAGCAUGCCCCGAAUUAUCCGGGCUACACGCGGGCUACAAUGGUCAGGACAAUGGGUAUCGACACCGAGAGGUGGAGGCAAUACUCCUAAACCUGUCCUUAGUUCGGAUUGUGGGCUGCAACUCGCCCACAUGAAGCUGGAAUCCGUAGUAAUCGCGUUUCAAAUAGCGCGGUGAAUAUGUCCCUGCUCCUU